ACCUCCACUCAGGCAAGAUUACGCCGUGAACUAAAGCAUUUCAGUAACGGCAGGAAAAGAAAAUAACUAUGAUUCCCUCAGUAACUGCGAGUGAAGUGGGAAGAGCCCAACGUUGAAAGCUACAUCUUUAACCGGGUGUCGCGUUGUAACGUAUAGAUGCAACAUCGAGACGUGAACCAGAUUUGAAGUCGCUUAGAAUAGCGCACCAUAGAGGGUUUUAGUCCCGUACAUGAAUUUGUGUGUCACAUCAAGUAUGUUGUCUUCUAAGAGUCGGAUUGUUUGGGAAUACAGUCUGAAGUGGGUGGUAAACUCCAUCUAAGGCUAAAUAUAACCUCGAGACCGAUAGCGAACAAGUACCGUGAGGGAAAGUUGAAAAGCACUCUGAAAAGAACGUGAAAAGGGCGUGAAACCGUUAAUGGGGAAGCGUACGGUAGAGUCGAAGUAGAGCAGCGUGGGUGCGCGUAUUUUGUGGCAACACAGGAUGCGUGGCAGGUAGCGUUACUCUACGCGCCGGACUCAUUGUUAAAUGACUGGCGUAGUAAGUGGUUGGUAGUAACAGUGCAUCCCUGAGGAUGUUCUGUGCUAUUAGCAUUUACAAUAUGUUUUAGAGUUGUUCGACAAUGAUGUGUAGAGCGUAAUAUCAAUGUGUAGUGGCUAUCGGUAGAGUGCAAGUUUAGGCAAACACUCUAUUGACAACCAUUUCGUAUUGGUGUUACAAGACAAGUCGCAUACGAUUUUCCGGCGAGACAUGCUACUGUUCGACCCGUCUUGAAACAC
rnacentral:rRNA from 1 species